rnacentral:antisense_RNA from 1 species
CACUCUAAGCAGUUCGCAGGGAGCAUCUUUGAGCAGCUGGAACAGCUUUGCGGCCUUGCUGUAAUGAAGAUCUGCCAGCACCCGGUGUUGUUUCCUAAGGUGUUCAUCACCAACCUAGAACCAAACCAAAACAAGCAACAAAUCCUUCACGAUAGUGCCCAGGCUGGACUUGAACUCCUUGCUGGGCUUAAGUGAUCCUCCUGCCUCAGCCUCCUGAAUAGGAAGUGGAGCCAGAAUCCACAGAUGUCAUUAUCCAUCUGCACACUUUGUUUACUACCCAGAAGGCAAGAAUAUUGCAUUUUAAAAGUGCCUAGACUUUUGUUCUUUCUUAUCACAAAUGACUUGGGAAGCUCCGACCACUCAUGUUUACCCCGAGUGAAAGUCCCAUUCAAAGCCUUGCUUCCUGGAGAGCUUUGAGAUUCUGGUUCAAAAGGCAUUUUAUAAGCACAAAGUGGAAAAGCAUCAUUCAUAUUCAUUUGCUGCUGCGGCAUUUCUCCCUGGAUUCUUCCUCUUGUCUGUCAACAUUGGGCAAAAGGACUGGCCUCAUCUACAUUACAGAUAUCCU